rnacentral:rRNA from 1 species
AUUGAACGCUGGCGGCAUGCCUUACACAUGCAAGUCGAACGGCAGCACAGGGAGCUUGCUCCUGGGUGGCGAGUGGCGAACGGGUGGGUAAUGUAUCGGAACGUGCCCAGUAGUGGGGGAUAACUACUCGAAAGAGUGGCUAAUACCGCAUGAGAUCUCUGGAUGAAAGUGGGGGACCGCAAGGCCUCACGCUACUGGAGCGGCCGAUAUCAGAUUAGGUUGUUGGUGGGGUAAAGGCCUACCAAGCCUGCGAUCUGUAGCUGGUCUGAGAGGACGACCAGCCACACUGGGACUGAGACACGGCCCAGACUCCUACGGGAGGCAGCAGUGGGGAAUUUUGGACAAUGGGCGCAAGCCUGAUCCAGCAAUGCCGCGUGCAGGAUGAAGGCCUUCGGGUUGUAAACUGCUUUUGUACGGAACGAAAAGGCUCUGGUUAAUACCUGGGGUUCAUGAUGGUACCGUAAGAAUAAGCACCGGCUAACUACGUGCCAGCCGCCGCAGUAA